rnacentral:rRNA from 1 species
UACGUAGGGGGCAAGCGUUGUCCGGAAUCAUUGGGCGUAAAGAGCGCGUAGGCGGCCAGAUAAGUCCGGUGUGAAAGUCACAGGCUCAACCUGUGAAUGCCGCUGGAAACUGUCUGGCUAGAGUCCGGGAGGGGCGAGUGGAAUUCCUGGUGUAGCGGUGAAAUGCGCAGAUAUCAGGAGGAACACCAAUGGCGAAGGCAGCUCGCUGGAACGGUACUGACGCUGAGGCGCGAAAGCGUGGGGAGCGAACAGG